ACGUAGGGUGCAGGCGUUAAUCGGAAUUACUGGGCGUAAAGCGUGCGUAGGCGGUUUGUUAAGACAGGUGUGAAAUCCCCGGGCUUAACCUGGGAACUGCGCUUGUUACUGGCAGACUUGAGUGUGGCAGAGGGGGGUGGAAUUCCAGGUGUAGCAGUGAGAUGCGUAGAUAUCAAGAGGAGCACCUGAGGUGAAGACGGGUUGCUGGGCUGACACUGACGCUGAGGCGCGAAAGCCAGGGGAGCAAACGGGA
rnacentral:rRNA from 1 species